rnacentral:lncRNA from 1 species
CUUAAUUUCAAACUAUUUUUAAGGUUUAUUUGUUUUGCUUUUAAGUCCUAUAAGAGAAGUUGACAGACUUUUUCUGUAAAGGGACAGGCUAGUACAUAUUUUUGGCUUUGUGGAACAUAUGGUCUCUGUUGCAGGUACUCAACUCUGUAUCAGGAAAGUAGCCACAGAUAAUUGGUAAAUGAAUGGGCAUGGCUGGGUUCAAGUAAAAUUUUAUUUAUGAAAAUAGGCAAGGAGUUUGGAUUAUGCCCCACAAACUAUAGUUUGCCAACCCUAGUCCACAAGAUUCAUUUUCUUUUUCUUAUUCAUUUUUUAUUUUAUUAUUUUUUAAAGAUUCUAUUUAUUUAUUCAUGAGAGACACACAGAGAGAGGCAGAGACACAGGCAGAGGGGGAAGCAAGCUCCAUGCAGGGAGCCCAAUGUAAAACUCGAUCCUGGGACUCCAGGAUAAUGAUCUGAGCCAGUGGCAGAUGCUCAACCACUGAGCCAUCCAGGCAUCCAUCUUAUUCAUUUUUUAAAAAGUAGGUUCCAUGUCUGACAUAGGGCUUGAACUCACAACCCUGAGAUUAAGAGUUGCAUGCUCUCCCAGGCAACUCCAGAAGAUUAUUUUCAAGAACACAAAUCAAAGAAUUGAGUCACACAGAGGACACAAAAUUUAAAGCCGGAACAUGUGCAUCUUUGACCUUUCCCAACCAGGUAUUUACCCAAGAGAAAUGAAGACCUGGAAAGUAAUAUUUGUAGCAGCUUUGUCCACAUUUUCCACAAACUGGAAACAAAUCACAGUACACCUAUACAGUGGAAUGCUCCGCAGUAAAAAGAAUCAAACUAUUGAUACAUGAAACAAGUGAUGUUCUUAUAGAGCCCUGUCUGGGCAGAGAGGCAGGCACCAAACAAGGAAACACACAUUCAAAUAUGGAAUUAUGACUUAUGGUAAGUACAUGGAGGAACAAACAGAGUGCUUUUAUAGAAUUAUGGGA